GGGAGUGGGUGCAGAGCUGGGGUCAGGGAAAGCUGGAGUGUUCUACAGACCCAGGGCAUAGCCAUGACCCUCACCUUCAAGAGUCUUCCAUUCCCUCCCCUCCUAGAGUCUCCUCAGUCCACCAUUCCCAUCAGGACCGUUGUUGGUGCUGUCCUUGGAGCUGUGGUCUUAGGUUUUGUCAUUGGUGUGCUGAUGUGGGUGAGGAAGAGCACAGGUGGAAAAGAAGGCUAUGCUCCUACGUCAGUUCAGUAUGACAGGGAAGAAGAAUCAUCCCAGAGUCCCUGAGGAACUUGAGUGGAGACUGAGCUGAUUGUUUCUCCUCCAGCCCCACUUGUCAAUCUCCUGACUGUGUCUGGUUAUUUCUACUGCAGGCAGGGACAGUGUCCAGAGCUCUGACUUGUCUCUGGAGGCUUGAAAAGGUGAUGCCCUGGGGCCUGGGUGCUGAGGGACAAUGGUUUUACCCUGUAAACAUGUGUUUCUCAUACUUGUUUAAUAAAAUGCUAAUUGGCUGGUA